rnacentral:lncRNA from 1 species
GGGCUGCACACAUGGAAUAUGGAGGUUCCCAGGCUAGGGGUUGAAUCAGAGCUACAGCUGUCGGCCUAUACCAUAGUCACAGCAACACAGGAUCCGAGCCACGUCUUUGACCUACACCACAGCUCACGGCAACGCCGGAUCCUUAAGACACUGAGUGAGACCCAGGGAUCGAACCUGCCACCUCAUGGUUCCUAGUCAGAUUCGUUUCCACUGCGCCAUGAUAGAGCUUUUUGCUUACCUUUCCAGUGGGAUCUGGAUUUGAAUCACCUAUGGUGUCUGGCCCUUAGCAGGAACCUAUUAAACACAUCUCUAAAAACUCCACUGAAUGAAAUAAACCUAAAAGCUUAAAAUUAAGUCACUAAAUAGUCUUUCCUCAGACAAUACUGAUGUUUUUCAAACCACACACUAGAAAAAAAAUCCCUAUGGUAACCAAGAAUGUCACAGGCUUCCACCAGCAUAAUUAAUAAAGAGCUAAACCAGAAGUACCUAAAAAAUGGUAUUUGCACGUGAAGUUAACUGGGCUUAAGCGUUCUUUGAAACAAAAUCUUUUUUUUUUUUUUUUUUUGGUCUUUUGUCUUUUUAGGGCUGUGCCCAUGGCAUAUGGAGGUUCCCAGGCUAGGGACUGAAUCGGAGCUACAAGUGCCGGCCUACACCACAGCCACAGCACCUCGGGAUCUGAGUUGCAUCUGCAAGCUACACCACAGCUCACGGCAACGCCGGAUCCCCAACCCACUGAGUGAGGCCAGAGAUCGAACCCACGUCCUCACGGAUGUUAGUCGGGUUCAUUAACCACUGAGCCACGUCGGCAACUCCCAAACUCUCCCCUUUAAAAGGGAUCAACUGUUCAGUCCUCUAUCCUGGAGGCUCUCCACCCAACAUCAUUUUAAGAGAAGGGGAGUGCCAUCUGCUACAGAUAUUCUAAUGUGCAUCCUUCCUGUAAUGACCCCAUGUUGAACCCUUCACAGGAAGUCAUCCCAAAGGAGACAGCACGUGCCAACAUUUUUGCGCAUCUCUGGACACCUUUGAAGUUCGACUUUUGGUGUCUGAAAUGACUGAUGGGGGGGGGGGGGGGGGGGAGCAGGAAAGCUUUGGCUGAUGUGUUCCAGAAUGGAUGUCUCAGCUACGAAACUCAAAAAGCCAAAAAAGGAUGGCUGUUCCUCCGAUGAAUAAGAAAGGAAUAGCAACAGGAAACCAGCAACAGUCACAAAAUAAUAAAUUACAACAAAUCCUAAACUGGUAGCAGUGCACUGUCGGCGUGACUCACUCCAUUUCCUUCCAACUUGUCAUCCCAUUAACAAAAGAAACAAAGUCACCUGACCAUCUCGACUUCUCGGGUAUCCAUUUUUUCAUCGGCACUGUUCCUUCUCAUAUUUACAAACAUGUUUAUUUGAUUCAACGAGGAAGAGGCAGGCAGCUUUCCAAUCAACAUAAAAGCUAGCGACACCCGUGCUUUGUCCUAAGAGAGAGGCGGAAGGAAAUACUGUGGGAUGGACAUGAGAGCUCACGCCCCUUUAGUGUUGUGUUUUCUUUUGUUUGCCUUAGUAUCAGGAUGAGUUUUUAUUUUUUUAAAAUAAAUAAAUAUUUUAUUGAUUUAUUUUAAUUACUCAAAUGAAUGUAUCCCAUCUGUAGUUAUAUAAUGAUCACCACAAUCUGAUUUCACAGGAUUCCCAUCCCACAGCCCAGGCACAUCCCCCCACCCCCCUAACUGUCUCCUCCGGAGACCCUAAGUUUUCCAUUUAAUGGGACCUGAAUGACAUGGUCGUUUCUGAGUCCUAUGUUUUGCGGCCCUAGGGGAGCAGCACAUUGAAAUGCUUCCCACUUCAUUCCUCCACCCAGAGGAUGUUCUAGGAUUCUUGGGAGCCCAGUGAGAACAACAGAAGUUGUUCCUGGAUUAGCAAUCCCUUCCAUUUGCUUGGACUUUCUAACUCCGGAAACUCUGAGGCACACAGGAUCAUGUGUUCAACACCCAGCGGGCCGUGCGGAGGAGAGGGUCACAGCGCAGACACCCGGGAGCCAGAAGGUCCUCGUGGGAGGCCUGGCUCCUCUACUUUCCAGCUUGGGACGUUCCAUUACUUCCCUUCUCCCUGCCUCAAUUUCCCCACCUCCAAACGCGGAUAAUAAUGGCACCAACCUCUUGGGGCUGGUGUGAGGAUUCCAUGAGAUCAUCGGCCCGGCUCAGGGUCCAAAGGCCACACUGCUUCGGGUACCUCAUACACAGCAAGCCUAAGGAGGCAUUUGCGACGGAAGACCAGUGAGACACAGACCUUUCCUCUCCAUCACCGGAGAGAAGCAACAAAGGAAUCAUGAGACCCUUUAACAAAUAAGACGUCAGAAAUGCCAGCUGCAGGAAGCUCUAGGGAAAGGCAAGGAAUUUUGCUACCCAAACUCUAGCUCUGUGGUGGAGGUUCCAGGCCUCAGAGCCCAUCAACUGAGGACGGAUUAGUAUCUGUAUGGCACCGAUGUUGGGGCCCGAGGAGACACAGACUUUUUAGGGGAGGGGCUGAGGAGUGGCUAAGAUUUUAGCUGCAAAAAAAAAAAAAAAAUAGGAGUUCCCAUCGUGGCGCAGGGGUUAACGAAUCCGACUAGGAACCAUGAGGUGGCGGGUUCAAUCCCUGGCCUUGCUCAGUGGGUUAUGGAUCUGGCGUUGACGUGAGCUGUGGUGUAGGUUGCAGACACGGCUCGGAUCCUGCAUUGCUGUGGCUGUGGUGUAGGCCGGCGGCUACAGCUCCGAUGAGACCCCCAGCCUGGGAACCUCCAUGUGCCGUGGGAAUGGCCCUAGAAAAGGCAAAAAGACAAAAAAAAAAAAAAAAAAAAGAGAGAGAGAGAGAGAGAGAGAUUUUAGCUGCUUGAAUAGACAUCUCGGAGGCACAGAAGGCCUGGGCUAGAUGCCAACAUAUAGAUGUGUGAGAAGUUCAGAGGAGGGAGUGGUGGGCCAGGCCUGAGCAAACCAGGAGUAUUCUGGAUUUACAGCUAAGCUUUACUUUGGUCUAGGCCAGGCCAGGCCUUAGAGAGAUGAUCACAGAUACACAGAGAGAGCCAGGGAGGUCCUCCAGGUAGAUGGAAAGGUACAGGCAAAGGCAGAAAUGUAUCAUCAGAGCCUGAUUAGACAAGGUGGCUGGGGGAGAAGGUUCCAUGGGGAGGGGACUGAUGGGAGACUCAGCGAAUGGUGCAGGUAGGGGCCCAUCUGUAGAGGUAGCUUUUCCCUGGCCUACAUCUCUUGUUGUUGCCGUCUCUAUUUUAAUUGAAGCAUUUAUUGAGUUAAUUGUAGAUUCACAUGCAGUUGUAAGAAAUAAUACAGAAAUAUUCCAUAUAUUCGGUAACUAGCUUCCCCCAUACAUAGCAUCUGACAAUACAGAAUACAGUGUCUCAACAGGUCAUUGACAUUGGUACAACCCACCUCCAGUGCUCAGCUUCUUCCAGUUUUACGUGCACUUACGCAAGGUAUACACCUGUGUAAGUUUGCCUCU